GGUCUUGUGGUGUAGUGGUUAUCACGUAUCCUUCACAUUUAAUGUACGGAUAAGGUCAUCAGUUCGAUCCUGGUCAAGAUCA